rnacentral:rRNA from 1 species
GAUGAACGCUGGCGGCGUGCCUAAUACAUGCAAGUCGAGCGAACAGACGAGGAGCUUGCUCCUCUGACGUUAGCGGCGGACGGGUGAGUAACACGUGGAUAACCUACCUAUAAGACUGGGAUAACUUCGGGAAACCGGAGCUAAUACCGGAUAAUAUAUUGAACCGCAUGGUUCAAUAGUGAAAGACGGUUUUACUGUCACUUAUAGAUGGAUCCGCGCCGCAUUAGCUAGUUGGUAAGGUAACGGCUUACCAAGGCAACGAUGCGUAGCCGACCUGAGAGGGUGAUCGGCCACACUGGAACUGAGACACGGUCCAGACUCCUACGGGAGGCAGCAGUAGGGAAUCUUCCGCAAUGGGCGAAAGCCUGACGGAGCAACGCCGCGUGAGUGAUGAAGGUCUUCGGAUCGUAAAACUCUGUUAUUAGGGAAGAACAAAUGUGUAAGUAACUAUGCACGUCUGGACGGUACCUAAUCAGAAAGCCACGGCUAACUACGU